AGGUAACACUCGAACUGACAAACAAAUCCUACUGUAAGCAGGAGAUGGAAAGGAUAAGCUGCCCGUGCUUCCAGAGGUUUACGUGGUUAGCACCCUCCAGCCUGUGCCACCUGCUGGCACUUCAUGGGUGUUUCUGGCAACUGCAUGAGAUCGGCCGUGGUUCAGCAAAGGCUCCUCUUGCUAUCUGCCUCUGGUGACAGUUAUGCUCAAGAAGGAACCUACGGCAUUACCCAUCCUGAGCUGAGAAGAGCGUCCCUGAAGGCAUUUCAUGGACUGUUUGAUACGGCUUAAUCUUCUAGAACCAGAGGCGCCAAAAGGCCCACCAACUUGCUUGGAAGCCUCUCCUCUACUCCAACAGCCAUCAUGUUUGCUCAGGAGCAUGGAAUCCCAUCUGAGGCUCCUACAGGAACACCACCAACCUCUACACGGCCUGCAGAGCCAGCCUGGCCUCAAGAGCAGGACACACCAGAAAACACCUGUUGAAUGGAUGCACCAGUGAACAGAGAUGGCCACCUCGCCAGAGCCACAAUCCAUGGGGACUGGAGACCAAAUGACGCUAAUGACUGCAGGGAAAUGAACAACUGAGAGGGGCUCCCUUUUAUCACUGGAGGGAAGCUGCUUGGUUCUAGUGAAUGGGAAGGAAUUGUAGGCAAAAACUCAGGGAGGAGACAGACAAGGAGAGCUUGGAAGGGGAACCUUACUAAUUAAGACAGAGAAAACAAAAUUUUGCUAAGCAUCAUUUCUGACUUACAACACAAAGUCAUUUUUCCUUUCUUCCUUGUCCCUCCUCCUUUGCUCUCCCUAUUCCUUCCCUCCUUCUACCCAGAGACUUCCACGUAAACAGGACACAAAAGCAUGACAGAGACCACAGGUGCACACAGAACCUGUGGCCCCCUCUGCAGCUCCGCCUGGAAGUGCCUCCUCUUCCCACGCCUCCUCCCACUCAUCGCCUGCCUUGCCCACAACCACCCUUCCUUCAGAUGUCGCAUGGAGUGUCUGCUUACUGGGGAAGGUCCCCACAUACCUCCCCCUACUCCAGGCUUGACAAAAAAAGCUCCUCUGUGUUCUCAUGUGAUCGUGUCUAUUAUAGCUGUUAUCACUACAUAUUUAAUGUAGCAGCUAAUGAGUCUCUCCCCCAACUGUGCUCCUUGGUAGCAAAAGCCAAGUCCUCUAAGAAGUAAAAGGCUUUGCAGUGCAAUGCAAAAACUCUAGCCAUUAUUGCUAUUUGACUCUGAAUCCCAAGUGCCUAGACAGAGGG
rnacentral:lncRNA from 1 species